UUGUACUUAUUAUUUACAAGCUAUGUUCUUGUCUUGGUUUGUUUUUACCCUUAUUUUUGCUCAAUAUUUUUUUACUUUUUAUUUUUUACUUUUAUUAUUUACAAGCCAUGUUUUUAUCUUCGCUUCAUUGGCCAUCAUUUUUACAUCACACACUUCUGCCAUUUUGUUACCUUUGCUGUCACCUGUGCUUUAUUUUUAGUACGCCAUCUCCUCUCCAGCCAAGUCCCCCCUUGGAGAGUCCCCCUCUCCGUCUUUAUUCCGCAGCAACCCGCCUGUCAAAAAAAAAAAAAAAAAACGUCCCCGAUGGGCUCGGCCGGUAAAUUCCCCAACUUAAAACCCAUUAGCGAGCUAUCAGCCCGGCCAUAAUGCAGUCUAACCACCUCAUUUACCUAAGUGUCAAGUGCUGUCAAGAACCACGGGCCUAGAGACGGACCUCGAGUGGGUCUGCUUGGAGGCAUCACGCAGGCACGCACGCACACACACAGUCCUCAUCAAAACCAGCAAAGGACACUCGCAUAUGUCACGCUGGGGGUGAGAGACUUUUGGAAUGAAAAUGGCAAGUAUUUCAUUUACCAUAUCCACUCUAUUAGCGGGAGCCAAGCAGUCAAUUGAGGGUGGGGGGGACAUUUUGAUAGGUAAGUGAGCUGAGGGGAUUGGGGAGGGGGGGUCAUGGAGAAGUGGCGGUCACAGCGUGGCUAUUCCAGCUCACCCCAAAUAAAUACAAACAUGGCAUAUAAAGAAUACAUGCCUGUGAUUAUUUGAUCUGUGUUCUAACCUUGGUCCGCUCUUCACGAUUUUAAUGCUUACUGCAGAAACAGCACCAAAAUCCUAAAAAAAAAUUGGCAAUUUUGUUUAAUUUCCAAAAUUGAUAAUGACAUUUACUUGCCUACACACUGUGAGUGCGCACGUGUCCACUGCCUGUCCUCGGAUCUGCCGGCAUACCUUUCUGUGAAAAUGAUAUGGUGUAGCAUCAGGAUCGUGAUUACACAGCAGAUCAUUGCCCAAAGUCAGCUGGGAUCGACGACAACGCAACUAUCAAGAAUGCAUGGCUGAAGGCUAAAGGAUUGUUCCAUCUCAUCCCCAAGAGCAGCGGGCCAAAUUGGCGCAUCACUACUGUCCGAAUGACAACACUGCCCUCUACUGGCAAAGAUAGAUAUUGCAUUAGCACUAGGUGGCAGCAUUUGGAAUUUCUCGAACCUGUCCUUUAACCAAGACGCCGGUAUUAACAGAAGAAAGCUUUAUGAAAAAAGACGUUACAACUUCUUUCCUCACAGUCUGAAGAUUUAAAAAAAA